UCAAGUGAUAAGUCCGUCAUUUUUAAUAGUCUCAUGGCCACUUCUCGUUCUCCUUCUUAUUUCUUAGGCUUACAUUUCCAACAACAAACAUUACAACUCAUCUAAGUAUGUAGAAAUACAGAUCCGAGUUGAAUGCGAAGAAGAUGAUGUAUGUAUCUGGCGAUAGAGGAGUUCUGCUAUCAUCAAUGGUCUGAUGGACAAGUUCUACAAAAGCAAAAGCAAUAAUAGCUUCAGCUCAAAGUAUGUGUUUGCAGUUUGCACCAUGGCUCAAAGAACAAAGGCCAUACCCCAAAUAAAUUGUUCUACUAAAAAUGGGCCUAGAGAGCAACCCAUAUCCACUCAGAUGUGGUUUAGGAGAUGCAAGUCAGCCUACCCAACUUGCCAGAAGCAUGGGUACCAUAACCCGUGUCCGACUUAAUUUGGGGGGUCCUCAAAGAAAUCAGAUACAUCAUAAUGAGUGGUGGAGUUCUCAGCAUCAUUUGAAACAAAAUUUGUUUCCUUUUCUUUGUCGUUCUUUUUCAAAGAUGCCUGGUAAAGAUCGACUAGGUGCCUUGGGGUACGACAGGUACGUGACCAAUGGCCCUUUCCACCACAGCGGAAACACUUCUCCUCCGUUGAUUUAUUCUGCCCGAUAUUCCUUUCUUUGUCCCACUUCUGGUGAGAUCCUCUCUUUUGAACAUAAUUCUUUUUCCUUCCAUAAUUUUUCUUGUUAUUAAAAGCUUGCCAUUUACCUCUUCUGGGGUAAUGAUUUGCCGCAUUUACUUCAGGAAAUGGGGCGGCGCCAGCUGGGCGCGCUUCAUGAUUUUUUAAUAACAACUCAUUGUUGCGUUCGGCAACAAGAAGGCAAGAAAUUAACUCAGAAUAUUUUUUAAACCCUUUCUCUCGAUACUGCUGCUGCAGGAGCACAUUCGAGGCAUGGAAGGUUGAGAAAGUUUUCUCCAACAUAUCAUGAUCAGUUAUUUUUUCCCCACACAAUUUCAUUCGUGAGGUGAUUCGAAACAUUGCAGAAUUAUAUUCAUUUAUAGAUUUAAAAUCUUGUAAACGCAAAUGCGUCCAUUCAUACCGGGCUUGAGGAAGUAUCACCGUUUUCUGAUGAUUGUACCUUUCUUCAAGGUCUUUCCAAAGAUCUGCAGGAUCUUUUAAUGUGAGAUAUUCAUUUUUCAAUCCUUCGUCAAGAUGACGACGGAGAAAAAUCAUGGCUUUAGCUUUAUCCUUCUGGGAUGCAUUAUUUUCAAUUUUAAUGGUAUCUCCAAGAUCCAUUGAAUCAAGAUGGAUUUCAGCAUCUAGUAUCCAUGAUAAAUAAUUGUUUCCGGAUAUAUCAAGAGCAUUGAAUUCAAGAUGAGAGAGCUUCGACAUAAUGAAAAUAUUACCUGAGUCUUCCUAAAGAUUUGAUCAGAGUCUCGUGCUGAUAACGUGUUGUAAAAUAAAUAAAAGAUAUAAAAUAGAGAUGUAUAAAUAGAAGACUUUAUUAUUAAUAUAAUUAGCUCAAUAAUUAUUAUAUAUAUAUAAUAAUAUUAUAUGUUGUAUUGUGUAUAUAUAUACAAAGAUAAGAAAAAGUAUUAAAAAUAAAGAGAAAGAGAUUUGCAUUUGAUACUAUCUCAAUAUAAUAAAGAUGGUUAAUAUUGCUAUUAAUAUUAUAUGUAAAGAGUAAUAGAAAAUAGAAUUUAAAAUACUUAUAAAAUAAAAGAAGAGAAAGAAUUGUAAUAGUAAUAUAAGGAGAAGGGUAUUUGAUUGCAACAUAAAAAGGAAUUGAUCUCUUAUUAUUUGGUUGUGUGUAGUAAGAGAAAAGAAACCAAAUACUUUAAGAAAGAGAGAGAGGGAAUAUAUGAGUUUUUAUUGCUGUGUGUUUCUUACUGAGGUUUAACCUCUAUUUAUACAUGCAAUAAGAUUUAUUUUUCCACGUAUCAUUCAAUGCAAGAGUUUUGGUAACAUAGCAUUUCAGCAUGGAAAAUAUGAGCCACCCAUGGUCAUUCAUUUCAUACUUAUCGUAACAGGAAUUAGUAAUUUUUGUAUUUUUUUGCUAAUACUUAAUCAUAAAAAAAAAAAGUGAGUGAUUUUUUAUUAUUGGAUGUAAUCUUACACCAUUAAAAAUACUAUUAAUAGUCAAUUGAUGAUUACAAAAUACCAAAAUUAUUGGUCCUCUAACAUUACUCUUUACUUAAAAUUACUACUGAUUCAGCAUCAAAAUCUUUAGUUGUUGGUACUUUUUUAAAUUGGCGUGAAGACAUCUUUAGCACUCUUAUCACCAUUUUUAACUUCUUUUCCGAACCUAAAUUAAUUUACAAUCUGUUUCAGGUACAUCGCAAAAUAAUAUAUUUAUAAAAAUAUAAAAUGAUUAAAUAUUAUAUUUAAUUAAAAAAAUAUUUUUAGUAUAGAUAAAAUUAAAUAAAAAAAUUUUAAAAUAUGAAUAGGAUUUAGAAGUGAGAAAUUCUCAUCUUAUAAAUAAGAUAGAAUUGAAUUUUAGAGAAAUUUUAAACCUGUAAUUAAGAUUAGGAUAGAAUUUAAAUACUAUUCUACUUUAUACAUUACCAGUCCUAAGACCUACCAACAAAAUUUCAGUGAUAAUCUAAAAAGAAAAAGUCUAAGUUAG